CUGUGGCCUCCUGUCUGCUCUUUGCUGUCAUUUCUCAAACCCACCAAAUCCUGUCACUGUGCCCCUCUAAUGGUGGCCAUUUCUCUGUUGCAUUUCUCUUAGCACAGAUUGGCACUUUAUCAUUCAUCCCUCAAUUUGGAAGCGAAUCCUCCUCUGUCGAUUUUCCCUCCACCCUACCACAGCUAUACUCUAGAAGACUCACACAUAGUUCCUGCUUACUGCCUUCAUCCCUGAAGACUUGUAAUGAGAGGAAUAAGGCCAUAGAGCUGAGUCACUGUGCCCGGAAGUAAGGGGCUCCCUCCGCUUGCCCGAGGUCAUCUCUUCCCAAGUCCUGGCAAAGCACUGGCUUGGGUGCCACCUGCUUCAGAGAAAGUCAGCCCUGUAGUCACUUUAGGAGCAGGUGGGAGGCUGUCCUGGGAGCCUGGUCCGUGCAUAGCCCUGGAGGCCUGCUGGGGAGAGCCAGUGCUGCCACACUCCUGGAGACCCAGCCCUGGGACUGGGGGAAGGGACUUGUGCCAGCUGAAGCCUCCUUCAGUGCGUCACUCUGAAUGGCACUGGCGUUCCAUUUUGCUUCACAUGAAAUCAACUGAAGCUCUUUAUUCAAGCUUUGGGCUCUCAGACAUGGAAAUGAGACCGUGACCAUGGCAGUCGGACAGGGAAAUUCUUGUUUGACCCAGAUUGAGAGGACAGAGGCAUGGCUGUGGAGGUGCCAGCUUGACUAAUGAAUGAGGAAACAGCCCUCUAUGUAGGUCAGCCACUUUCCUUCCUCUGGGCUUCCUUGUUUUCUUCCCAAAGUCAUCCAUUCCUGAUAAUGAUGUGACCUGUCUGCUGGCUACCAAGUACUUACUUGGACCAAAGGCUGAAUUUUUAGAGAGCAUUUAUUCUGUUUUUUAAAUCAAGGUAUAAAUUACAUAGAUGUAGACAGUUCUAUGGCAGGAAUAACAUUAAGACUCAAGUGGGGAGUGCACCUAUAUUACUCCAGUUAUAUUCCCAACUUCGCAAAUAAUUGGAAAACAUGAACUUCAGUCAAAUUAGGAUUACCUAGCUUGGAAAAAAAUCUCAAAACUGCACAGCUAGCAGGGAGGCUUGCAGACUGAAAACCCGUCCUUUCCUGCCAGAGCCGAGUGGAGGUGGAAAGCCUGUCAGUGUGUUCCUCUCGUUUCUGUGACAUCGUAUACUCACAGAACCGUAGGAUCUACUGUCUUCCUUUAUUCACGUGGUGUUACAGAGCCAGGGUCAGGAGACCCAGUUUCUCAUCCCCGCUGACUCUGACUCAGGUCACUUCGCCUCUCUGAACCCGUUACCUCAUUCUACAUCGUCUCUAAGGCUGUCUCACCCUCUUGUGAAUCAUUCCCUCUGUCAUCUCUAAGUGUAUCUGAGGCUGACGUAGAAGGGGCGAAUCCCAACCCCUAAGUUCAUUUUGAGAGAGAAGGAGCGUGUGCAUUCAGCCUCUCCGAGUUAGGACCCGAGACAGCAUCCAGGGCCCUGUCUUUGACCUCUCUUCCUAGUCUUCACUGUUAUGACCGUUUCCUUGCUAUUCUGAGGGUAGUCCUGUGACUGGAGCAGAGAAGGGCCACCAGUCAUGAGGAGAGCAUCUCCAGCCUUCAUUGUGACCAGGCAAAGUGUGGAUGGUUGCCAAGACAGAAGUCCCUCCUGUGCAGGCUGUUUCUGAACUCAGCUGAAGCUUCUGAGUAGCGGAGCUUAUCUGGCUGCAUCCGGAUAAGAGCUCUCUUUGUAAGCGACUGACUUGAGAUAGAGUUUGCCAGCUCCGGAGGUACAGAACAUGUGUUUAUUUUUGCCCCGGAAGCAGGUGUUAGAGAUGUGAGAGGCUUUUCUUUUCCUGUGGCCUUGAUCCUGACUUGAGUGACAGUUUUAAAAGAAGAAGGGGUGUGGGGGGUGGAAACAGGACUUGUGGAGUUGAAGGAACCGCCUGCAUUUUCUUCCUUUAGGCACACGAGACAGUUCUUAGGAAGCAUGUCACUUCAGCAUCCUGUCGCAGUAUCAUCUGGAAUUGUUUUCUUUACCCAGAAAGCCUUAACUUGCCUCUAGAAAAUCCCCUGGUAUGACAAUAUUGUGGCAUAAGAAUUCAAACACUUCUGCUAUGAAAGUCUGAAGUAAAGCCACAGCCAAACCAGAGAAUUUCCUCAGGUGGCCUGGAGGCUCCUAUGACAUCACCCCACCUCUCACCCCAACAACACGAGUGAUCUAGAACAAGCUCCUCCACCCGUCUUCUUGGCCUUACUCUCUUUCAAAGCCACAUUAGAUCACUCAAAUGCUUCCAAAAGGGGCCUGCUUGGCAUUAAGAGGCCAAGCCAUUGAGGACUCAGGUUUCUUCUACCUGUUUUCUAAGCAAAGGACUGUAUCUGUCUGGGGUCAAUUGUCCUAAACUAUAUUUACAGCUAAGGACACAGGAGCAGGCCCCUGCUGGCUAAGGAACCAGAACGGCAUCCAGAGGAAAGGCUGCUCUGACAGCCCUGCUGCCUCCAGGUGCUACAGCCCAGCAUCCGCCUGAAGUGGUCCUUAGAAACAGGCCACAGAGUACAGCUUGCCAACAGUCCCCAGACACCAGAGCAUAGAUAGUUGUCUCUUUUGGAAGAGUCCAUCUGCCAUGUUUUCCAGCUGUUUUUCCUAGCAUAUAUGUAGGUAGAGCUUUCAAUGCCUAAUGAAGAAGCUGAAAUCCCUUUCUAAUUGGUAGAUUAAGACUGACAUGGCGAGUUUCAGAAAGUUCACAACUUUUUACCAGACUCCUGUCAAUUAGCGAAAUCCAUAACUGGUCCCCAUUAGCCAAGAAACCUUCUGUUGCCAUAAAUUGGGGGCAGUCCACUUCUAGCGCUGUAGAAGUACCCUUAGUCUCAGUGGGCAUUGUGCCCCCAGACCGCACACAGAACAGUCAACAUCACCUAAAAUCAUUGCUGACCUCCUUGGUCCCCAGGGCCAACCACCGCUCUCCCAGGGCUGCUCUCAUAUAGUUCCUGGCUAUAGGAGCUAAACUCAUGUUGGUCUUCAUUUUGGCCUCUUUGGUUUUCCUAAAGCACAAAUCCGUGUAGACUCCUGUUAUCUCUCCACACCCAUUCCGGGUGACCUGGCUCUCUCCCGCAGCCUCAGGCAGACCUUCACUGUACCUGAGCGUGCAACUCUUCCCCCACUGCCGCUGCCUUAGUGACCAGGGCUGGGGCGGGGGAGGGGCCCGUUCGCCUCCCUCCUUUUCCCAGGUAGACUCCCACUGACCACAGUGGUCUGCUUCCAGAUUGAUUUUUUUUUUUUUUUUGAGAACCAUCACUUUCACAUUCCUGAUUCUAAUGUGUUUUGUUUUGUUCUCUGUGGGUUUCACGGAACUCCAGAUGCUGCCCUGGAAAUACUGUAUUUUGGAGUUCAUGCUCCGUAAGCCCCUGUGCUGCUGGGUCCUUUGACUCCUCCAGCAGCAGGUGUUUCGGACUUGCAAUUAGCAAUGCAACUUUUUCUAAAUAUGAGGAUAUCUACCUUUAUUAAGAAGUUAUACUAAGCAAUGGCGUCCUUGUUUAUUUUAUGUUUUCACAUUACUUCUGAAUCUGUGGUGGUGAGCAAAGAUCAUUACAAACAAAAACUGUAAUUUUGUUAUCUUCGAUUCAAUGGAAUUUCUUUACUUAAAAAAAAAUAAAGACAAAAAAAUGUAGAGUGCU
rnacentral:lncRNA from 1 species